rnacentral:rRNA from 1 species
GGAGCGCUUAGAAGUGAGAAUGCCGGUGUGAGUAGCGAAAGACGGGUGAGAAUCCCGUCCACCGAUUGACUAAGGUUUCCAGAGGAAGGCUCGUCCGCUCUGGGUUAGUCGGGUCCUAAGCUGAGGCCGACAGGCGUAGGCGAUGGAUAACAGGUUGAUAUUCCUGUACCACCUAUAAUCGUUUUAAUCGAUGGGGGGACGCAGUAGGAUAGGCGAAGCGUGCGAUUGGAUUGCACGUCUAAGCAGUAAGGCUGAGUAUUAGGCAAAUCCGGUACUCGUUAAGGCUGAGCUGUGAUGGGGAGAAGACAUUGAGUCUUCGAGUCGUUGAUUUCACACUGCCGAGAAAAGCCUCUAGAUAGAAAAUAGGUGCCCGUACCGCAAACCGACACAGGUAGUCAAGAUGAGAAUUCUAAGGUGAGCGAGCGAACUCUCGUUAAGGAACUCGGCAAAAUGACCCCGUAACUUCGGGAGAAGGGGUGCUCUUUAGGGUUAACGCCCAGAAGAGCCGCAGUGAAUAGGCCCAAGCGACUGUUUAUCAAAAACACAGGUCUCUGCUAAACCGUAAGGUGAUGUAUAGGGGCUGACGCCUGCCCGGUGCUGGAAGGUUAAGAGGAGUGGUUAGCUUCUGCGAAGCUACGAAUCGAAGCCCCAGUAAACGGCGGCCGUAACUAUAACGGUCCUAAGGUAGCGAAAUUCCUUGUCGGGUAAGUUCCGACCCGCACGAAAGGCGUAACGAUUUGGGCACUGUCUCAACGAGAGACUCGGUGAAAUCAUAGUACCUGUGAAGAUGCAGGUUACCCGCGACAGGACGGAAAGACCCCGUGGAGCUUUACUGUAGCCUGAUAUUGAAAUUCGGCACAGCUUGUACAGGAUAGG